ACUCAUGCCCCGUUCCAGCACUCCCAUAUCUCUGAUCGUAUUCCCGUGUGUACCGACCUCCGCCUGUUCUCCGACCAACCCUGUAAGCCUGACACCCCUUGAUACUCCUGCCUGCUUUGAUUGUUCCCCCGUGUACCUAUGCCCGACGUCCUGACUACCGCUGCUGCACCUGACUGCCUGCCAGAUCCCCGAUCUUGGAAUAAUAAACAUUUUUCACGAAUUACAUCUGCGUCUUCCGACUCCUGCAUUUGGGUCCUACCUCCGUCUCGAUGGCUUCAGUCAGAACCAGUUGGUCAGUGGGUUUGGUGAGUUUACCGUGGGCCCGUUCUUCCCAGGCGUAAUCACGACAGUCGUCGUCCUCAUCCUGCAACGUUGUGUGCAGUUUCAGGUACUGCAACAUUAUUGGCCGGCAUCGUCAGAGAAUGUGAACUUUUGAAGAAAACUACAGAGGAACUUUCCAGCAUGUGACGACAGGCUUGGCUUGCUUGUUGUAUAUCAGUUGCCGAGACAACCACCAG